UUAACUGCAGUUUAAACGUGUACAUGCACAUAACAUAGCAUAACAUAACAUAACAUAACAUAAAUAAAUGAAAGUCUUGAUUUUAUAUUAAUUUAAAGAAUAUAAUAUUAAAAUGACCACUCAUUAUAAUAAUAAAAAUUGUACAGAAAUCAUUAUCAUCACUGUCCUGUUAUAUUACUGUGCAAUGCCGCGAGAAAGUUUAUGCAUUUGAUCAUAGUCCCUUUAAGACAAGUCAUUUCACUCGACACCUCCCAGGCAUGCAAGCGCAGCUCCUAUCUCUUUGAAUAAGGAAACAUCAAAUUCUGCAAAACUGUUCAUUAAGCUUUCGAUUAAAUUUCAUAUUCGAAAACACAUUAAAUCUGACAACAACAGUCUUAUAAGAUUUAUUUCUUAUGUUCAAAUACAUUUAAAAAAGCUUUUUAAUGCUAGACCAUCCAAUACACAUGCGCAGUCAUGAGCACGAGUUUUCAAACACUGCCUGUUUCUAUAGGAACCGGAGCUUCUAACGGUCGCUGCAGUGACGUAAUGAAUUUACUAAUCAACGACUGGCUCUUUCAUUUAGAAGGCGGUACUUAUUCGCCUUUACGGACACGUAUGAUGAGCACAAAACAAGUCUGUAACUGGUCGCCAUUUUGUGAGGGUCAUUCAUUCGCGGUUCAAUCAGUUAUGGGGUGAUUCUUGAAUGAUGUCUGUGUCUGUGCAACCAGAGUCGGUUUAUUGUGUGUAUUUAAAUUGUGAUGAAAGUCAGCAUUUGAUCGUCGUUAUUCGCGGACGCACAAAACAACUUUGAACACACACAUCACAAGAAACGUGUCGUCCUAACAUUAAAACUGGUUGUGGACGCCAUGCUUUCCUGAGAGGGUCCUUCGCGGCAGUUUGGUCGGUUAACGAUCUGAUCUCAUCAUCAUCCAGUCUGUCUGGAAUGACAUGAAGAAACAGAACGAGACAGAAUAAAUCCAGAAGAUGUGUGGCAACGUCUUUAAGAUGCUUCAAGAGACCUACCUGCGGAGCUACAGUUUAUCACCUAAGCCUCCUUGGAGGCAAAACACCUGGAGAUGCCAUCCGGAUGGUGUUGCGAACAGUUGGAACAAACAGUGUUUGGUGUCAAUACAGCAUUAAAGGAAGGAAUGGGGGAAGAGCUGGACAUUGCGGCAUGAUCAUUCAGGCUUGCCAAAAGAUGCAUCCAAAAGUGCCAGUUAAGGUGUUAGAAGAGUUCAUCUUGAAGUAUGCUCCCCAUCGUGAGUCAAGGAUGGAGUGUGAAGAGACAGGCCAUGGACCACAGUUCCCGCAGUGAUAGUUUUUCAGCACCCACACACAAUUCAGAAGUUCUCACUGAUUAAAUGUUAAUAUGAUAGUUUACGUUUACCUGUGAAGUUGUCCUUGUCAUGAAUAUUAAACUAAAUGUAAAACUUUUUUACAUGAUAGGCAAUUUUCACUAAUCUGUUUAAUCUGUUAAUGAGGUUUUUUUUGAAAGUGUGCAUCUUUAUUAAUUAAAAUACCUGAAAUGCCUGCAAUGUGCUUGUAUCUGGAAUGUUGUAAUAAUGAUGUUGAAAGAUGAUGUUGCAACACUGCUAAUCUUAAAAUAACAUUUUAUUAAACUAUACUUUGUAAAGUUCCAAAUAAUUGUUUUUAGAACUUUGUAUUUUUAGUAAAAUGUGGGUAAUGUUG